CGCUACGGACUUAAUUUUUGAGCCUUAGUAGAGAAAUCUACUAAGUGACUGUUUUCACAUUCAGGGAAACCUAAGGUUUGAGAUAUUAGGUAAUCCUGAGCCAAAUUUCAAUUAUGAAAUAGGUGCAGAGACUCAAAGGAAACUAUCCUAACGAAAAGUUUUUUCUCUAUUUUUUAUUAUGAGUAGUUAAGUGCAUAAUACAAAAUAUAUUCAAACUAAUAAAAACAUUUGAAUAAAAUAUUUAUAUUAGUUUUUAAAUGACUUUUAAUAAACGAGGAUAAAGAUAGAGUCCUUUUUUACAAUCUAUUAUAAUUUUUCUUUAUAGAUAGUUGUAAAAAGAAAAUCCGCUGGCUUUAAUAGACCUUGAGGGUUCAAGUCCCUCUACCCCCA
rnacentral:ncRNA from 1 species